rnacentral:rRNA from 1 species
CCCAUCAGAAGGGGAUAACACUUGGAAACAGGUGCUAAUACCGUAUAACAAUCGAAACCGCAUGGUUUUGAUUUGAAAGGCGCUUUCGGGUGUCGCUGAUGGAUGGACCCGCGGUGCAUUAGCUAGUUGGUGAGGUAACGGCUCACCAAGGCCACGAUGCAUAGCCGACCUGAGAGGGUGAUCGGCCACAUUGGGACUGAGACACGGCCCAAACUCCUACGGGAGGCAGCAGUAGGGAAUCUUCGGCAAUGGACGAAAGUCUGACCGAGCAACGCCGCGUGAGUGAAGAAGGUUUUCGGAUCGUAAAACUCUGUUGUUAGAGAAGAACAAGGAUGAGAGUAACUGUUCAUCCCUUGACGGUAUCUAACCAGAAAGCCACGGCUAACUACGUGCCAGCAGCCGCGGUAAUACGUAGGUGGCAAGCGUUGUCCGGAUUUAUUGGGCGUAAAGCGAGCGCAGGCGGUUUCUUAAGUCUGAUGUGAAAGCCCCCGGCUCAACCGGGGAGGGUCAUUGGAAACUGGGAGACUUGAGUGCAGAAGAGGAGAGUGGAAUUCCAUGUGUAGCGGUGAAAUGCGUAGAUAUAUGGAGGAACACCAGUGGCGAAGGCGACUCUCUGGUCUGUAACUGACGCUGAGGCUCGAAAGCGUGGGGAGCAAACAGGAUUAGAUACCCUGGUAGUCCACGCCGUAAACGAUGAGUGCUAAGUGUUGGAGGGUUUCCGCCCUUCAGUGCUGCAGCUAACGCAUUAAGCACUCCGCCUGGGGAGUACGACCGCAAGGUUGAAACUCAAAGGAAUUGACGGGGGCCCGCACAAGCGGUGGAGCAUGUGGUUUAAUUCGAAGCAACGCGAAGAACCUUACCAGGUCUUGACAUCCUUUGACCACUCUAGAGAUAGAGCUUCCCCUUCGGGGGCAAAGUGACAGGUGGUGCAUGGUUGUCGUCAGCUCGUGUCGUGAGAUGUUGGGUUAAGUCCCGCAACGAGCGCAACCCUUAUUGUUAGUUGCCAUCAUUUAGUUGGGCACUCUAGCAAGACUGCCGGUGACAAACCGGAGGAAGGUGGGGAUGACGUCAAAUCAUCAUGCCCCUUAUGACCUGGGCUACACACGUGCUACAAUGGGAAGUACAACGAGUCGCGAAGUCGCGAGGCUAAGCUAAUCUCUUAAAGCUUCUCUCAGUUCGGAUUGUAGGCUGCAACUCGCCUACAUGAAGCCGGAAUCGCUAGUAAUCGCGGAUCAGCACGCCGCGGUGAAUACGUUCCCGGGCCUUGUACACACCGCCCGUCACACCACGAAAGUUUGUAACACCCGAAGUCGGUGAGGUAACCUUUUUGGAGCCAGCCGCCUAAGGUGGGAUAGAUGAUUGGGGUGAAGUCGUAACAAGGUAGCCGUAUCGGAAGGUGCGGCUGGAUCACCUCCUUU